GAUGAACGCUGGCGGCGUGCCUAAUACAUGCAAGUCGAGCGAACAGACGAGGAGCUUGCUCCUCUGACGUUAGCGGCGGACGGGUGAGUAACACGUGGAUAACCUACCUAUAAGACUGGGAUAACUUCGGGAAACCGGAGCUAAUACCGGAUAAUAUAUUUAACCGCAUGGUUCAAUAGUGAAAGACGGUUUUGCUGUCACUUAUAGAUGGAUCCGCGCCGCAUUAGCUAGUUGGUAAGGUAACGGCUUACCAAGGCAACGAUGCGUAGCCGACCUGAGAGGGUGGUCGGCCACACUGGAACUGAGACGCGGUCCAGACUCCUACGGGAGGCAGCAGUAGGGAAUCUUCCGCAAUGGGCGAAGGCCUGACGGAGCAACGCCGCGUGGGUGAUGAAGGUCUUCGGAUCGUAAAACUCUGUUAUUAGGGAAGAACAAAUGUGUAAGUAACUAUGCACGUCUUGACGGUACCUAAUCAGAAAGCCACGGCUAACUACGUG
rnacentral:rRNA from 1 species